rnacentral:rRNA from 1 species
UGCAGUCGANCGGAAGGCCCUUCGGGGUACUCGAGUGGCGAACGGGUGAGUAACACGUGGGUGAUCUGCCCUGCACUUUGGGAUAAGCCUGGGAAACUGGGUCUAAUACCGGAUAGGACCACGGUCUGCAUGGAUUGUGGUGGAAAGCUUUUGCGGUGUGGGAUGGGCCCGCGGCCUAUCAGCUUGUUGGUGGGGUGAUGGCCUACCAAGGCGACGACGGGUAGCCGGCCUGAGAGGGUGACCGGCCACACUGGGACUGAGAUACGGCCCAGACUCCUACGGGAGGCAGCAGUGGGGAAUAUUGCACAAUGGGCGCAAGCCUGAUGCAGCGACGCCGCGUGAGGGAUGACGGCCUUCGGGUUGUAAACCUCUUUCGGUAGGGACGAAGCGCAAGUGACGGUACCUACAGAAGAAGGACCGGCCAACUACGUGCCAGCAGCCGCGGUAAUACGUAGGGUCCGAGCGUUGUCCGGAAUUACUGGGCGUAAAGAGCUCGUAGGUGGUUUGUCGCGUUGUCCGUGAAAACUCACAGCUCAACUGUGGGCGUGCGGGCGAUACGGGCAGACUGGAGUACUGCAGGGGAGACUGGAAUUCCUGGUGUAGCGGUGGAAUGCGCAGAUAUCAGGAGGAACACCGGUGGCGAAGGCGGGUCUCUGGGCAGUAACUGACGCUGAGGAGCGAAAGCGUGGGGAGCGAACAGGAUUAGAUACCCUGGUAGUCCACGCCGUAANCGGUGGGUACUAGGUGUGGGUUUCCUUCCUUGGGAUCCGUGCCGUAGCUAACGCAUUAAGUACCCCGCCUGGGGAGUACGGCCGCAAGGCUAAAACUCAAAGGAAUUGACGGGGGCCCGCACAAGCGGCGGANCAUGUGGAUUAAUUCGAUGCAACGCGAAGAACCUUACCUGGGUUUGACAUGCACAGGACGCCGGCAGAANUGUCGGUUUCCUUGUG